GACAGAGGUGCCGAGCGUUAGGCGGAAUCACUGGGCUUAAAGCGUGUGUAGGCGGCCCGUUAAGUGUCUUGUGAAAUCCCCCGGCUCAACCGGGGGAACGGCUGGGCAUACUGGCGGGCUUGGGUCGCUCAGGGGCAGACGGAACAGGCGGUGGAGCGGUGAAAUGCGUAGAUAUCGCCUGGAACGCCGAAGGUGAAAACAGUCUGCUGGGGGGCGUACCGCAGCUGAGACACGAAAGCCAGGGGAGCGAACGGG
rnacentral:rRNA from 1 species